GAUGAACGCUGGCGGCGUGCUUAACACAUGCAAGUCGAACGAUUGAAGCUGGAGCUUGCUCUGGCCGAUUUAGUGGCGGACGGGUGAGUAACGCGUGGGUAACCUGCCUCAUACAGGGGGAUAGCAGUUGGAAACGACUGGUAAAACCGCAUAAGCGCACGGUAUCGCAUGAUACAGUGUGAAAAUACUCCGGUGGUAUGAGAUGGACCCGCGUCUGAUUAGCUAGUUGGUGAGGUAACGGCCCACCAAGGCGACGAUCAGUAGCCGGCCUGAGAGGGUGAACGGCCACAUUGGGACUGAGACACGGCCCAAACUCCUACGGGAGGCAGCAGUGGGGAAUAUUGCACAAUGGGGGAAACCCUGAUGCAGCGACGCCGCGUGAGUGAUGAAGUAUUUCGGUAUGUAAAGCUCUAUCAGCAGGGAAGAUAAUGACGG
rnacentral:rRNA from 1 species